GAGUAGGUUACCAGGAGACUCUGGCUUCUGCCUUGUGUGCCUCCUCUCGUUGUCUCACUUGCCUGCUCUGAUGGAAACCACCUGUCAUGUUGUGAGCUGCCUUAUGGAGAGGCCGCACAACAUGGAAGUGAAGGAGGCCUGUGGCCGACAGCCAGGGAGCAGCCGGAGCCCUCAGUCCAACAGCCUGCAAGGAACAGAGCCCUGCCAACAACCAGGGGCCUCCAGCAUGUUCCUGGAUGAGAACGCUGAUCAGAACAUCUCAGGUCUGCUCUGGAUGAGCUAAUUCUGAGCUCAGGCCUCCAGAACCUUCGGCAGCAGAAAGGAAGAGAGCUCACAUCUGGGGGUGGGAGCAACCUUCACUGACAUUCCAGCACAUUCCAGGGAGGGAGAGUUUCAAAACAGGAUAUAAAGCCAGGUCACUCUCAAGACCGGAUGCCCCUGAAAGCCAUGGGGCUCAUGACCCACUGACUCCUGGGACAGUCCAACCCAGAUAGAGUAUGCAUGGAAAUGCUCAUGUCCUUCGAAGACGAAUCAGAAAGUUAGAUUAUCUUGUCUUUCAUUUUUUAAUUGAUUACAUGUAAAUUCCAUGAGAGGCAGAUUC
rnacentral:lncRNA from 1 species